rnacentral:tRNA from 1 species
GGGGCUGUAGCUCUGUGGCAGAGUGCUUGCCUAGUAUGUGUGAGGCACUGAGUUCGAUCCUCAGCACCACA